AGGACGAACGCUGGCGGCGUGCUUAACACAUGCAAGUCGAGCGGAAAGGCCCUUCGGGGUACUCGAGCGGCGAACGGGUGAGUAACACGUGAGUAAUCUGCCCCUAGCUCUGGGAUAGCUCCGGGAAACCGGGAUUAAUACUAGAUACGACCACUUUAGACAUCUGCUGUGGUGGAAAGAAUUUCGGCUAGGGAUGAGCUCGCGGCCUAUCAGCUUGUUGGUGAGGUAACGGCUCACCAAGGCGACGACGGGUAGCCGGCCUGAGAGGGCGACCGGCCACACUGGGACUGAGACACGGCCCAGACUCCUACGGGAGGCAGCAGUGGGGAAUAUUGCGCAAUGGGCGAAAGCCUGACGCAGCGACGCCGCGUGGGGGAUGAAGGCCUUCGGGUUGUAAACCCUUUCAGCAGGGACGAAGCGAAAGUGACGGUACCUGCAGAAGAAGCGCCGGCUAACUACGUGCCAGCAGCCGC
rnacentral:rRNA from 1 species